rnacentral:lncRNA from 1 species
AUGCCAGCUCAGUGUGGGGGGAGCAUGCGUGCCUGGGGAGGGACAGGGACUGCCCCCCCCACGCCUCCAGCCGCCCCAUCCGCCAACCGCUUCCUGGAAGCCAGGCGUGGGAGGGGCAUCUUUCUGAUCCGGCUGGCUGGUGGUAGGAGGGAGCCCCAGCCCAUGGCCCGAAGGACCCAAGGGAAGCAUUGGUCCUUGCGGUCACUGCCAGAGCCGUCUUCAACCUGGAGGCUGCUUCUGGCCCACGGUGCUGAGGAGUGCAUCAAGCACCAGACAGCUCCAGCCAAGGAGCCGCUGCCCCUGGGCACAGCCCUCCCCUUCAUCCGGGUGAUGAUCUUUCCUUGGCGCUCAAGGCCUCUGGGGAGGCCCCUUCUUCACUUGACACAGGCGAGGUUGACUCACAAGCAGCUGCCUUUGGGAUCCCCGGCUGACCCCCGGGGCCAACACCCUGCUGUGAAGGAUGCAGUGCAGCUGGUGCAUGAUCCAGAGGAGCGAGGCCUCCUGGACGUCAUCGUCCUCUCCAACAACAGCCCAGAGGCUGGCAGCAGAAUCGUUCACUGCGCCAGGCAGGCAGGUCUGGAGAUCUCCAAAUUCUGCUUUGUCAGCAAGAAGGACUCCACCCAGUACCUCUGA